UUUUUUUUUUUUUUGGAGAUUUAAUCAUGUUAAGAAGGAUGAUCUGAAGUCAUUUUAAAAUAAAACAUUUAGUCUGAUGAUUGGGUAUUACACUGAAUUAGCCACAGUCUUUUCUUCUGGCAUCUGUUACAGUUGUAAACAUUGCUUUCUUUAGUAUUCUGUCUCUUUAAGGAUUGUAAUUCUUUGUGGUGUGAAAACAGAUUCAAUUAUCAUAGAUAGUAGGCUUAUCCAGGGAGGGGGAGGUCCUUAUAAAAGGAGUCUGGAGAGGCUUGGACAGCACACUUGAGAGAGCUGAGGCAAGCUACAAAGAGAACCGUCUGCCCUGAGGCAGAAGGCUUGACAGACAGGUGAGUGAACCACACCAACUAGUCUCAAGGAGCCCAAUGUCUCCUAAGAGAGUUCCAGGUCUUCAGAGCUAUGAAAUAGUUCUUUCCCAAGACAUAAACUUAAAACUCAACUCUAAAUACAUUUGAUUUUAAAUAAUCCAGUUUUUGAAAUUGGGUGGUAGUUUUCAUUCUAAUUAUGUUUGUUAAAAUUUGUUAACUUCUGGUAAAAUAUAGAGAUAGCGUCAUUUAUCUCUGAAGUCCAGAACUUACAAGGCAAUGCUGGGC
rnacentral:lncRNA from 1 species